rnacentral:rRNA from 1 species
UACAGAGGGGGCAAGCGUUAUUCGGAAUUAUUGGGCGUAAAGGGCGCGUAGGCGGCUUGGCAAGUGGAUGGUGAAAUCCCUCGGCUUAACCGAGGAACUGCCGUCCAAACUGCUUUGCUUGAGACCGGGAGAGGUGAGUGGAAUUCCCAGUGUAGCGGUGAAAUGCGUAGAUAUUGGGAGGAACACCAGUGGCGAAGGCGACUAACUGGACAUGUAUUGACGCUGAGGUGCGAAAGCGUGGGGAGCAAACAGG